rnacentral:rRNA from 1 species
GAUGAACGCUGGCGGCGUGCCUAAUACAUGCAAGUCGAGCGAACGGACGAGAAGCUUGCUUCUCUGAUGUUAGCGGCGGACGGGUGAGUAACACGUGGAUAACCUACCUAUAAGACUGGGAUAACUUCGGGAAACCGUAGCUAAUACCGGAUAAUAUUUUGAACCGCAUGGUUCAAAAGUGAAAGACGGUCUUGCUGUCACUUAUAGAUGGAUCCGCGCUGCAUAGCUAGUUGGUAAGGUAACGGCUUACCAAGGCAACGAUGCAUAGCCGACCUGAGAGGGUGAUCGGCCACACGGGAACUGAGACACGGUCCAGACUCCUACGGGAGGCAGCAGUAGGGAAUCUUCCGCAAUGGGCGAAAGCCUGACGGAGCAACGCCGCGUGAGUGAUGAAGGUCUUCGGAUCGUAAAACUCUGUUAUUAGGGAAGAACAUAUGUGUAAGUAACUGUGCACAUCUUGACGGUACCUAAUCAGAAAGCCACGGCUAACUACGUG